rnacentral:rRNA from 1 species
UAGGGAAUCUUCGGCAAUGGGGGGAACCCUGACCGAGCAACGCCGCGUGAGUGAGGAAGGUUUUCGGAUCGUAAAGCUCUGUUGUUAAGGAAGAACGAGUGUGAGAAUGGAAAGUUCAUACUGUGACGGUACUUAACCAGAAAGGGACGGCUAACUACGUGCCAGCAGCCGCGGUAAUACGUAGGUCCCGAGCGUUGUCCGGAUUUAUUGGGCGUAAAGCGAGCGCAGGCGGUUAGAUAAGUCUGAAGUUAAAGGCAGUGGCUCAACCAUUGUAGGCUUUGGAAACUGUUUAACUUGAGUGCAGAAGGGGAGAGUGGAAUUCCAUGUGUAGCGGUGAAAUGCGUAGAUAUAUGGAGGAACACCGGUGGCGAAAGCGGCUCUCUGGUCUGUAACUGACGCUGAGGCUCGAAAGCGUGGGGAGCGAACAGG